GAGGUUGUAGCUCAGUGGCAGAGUGCUCACUGAGCAUGUGAGAGGCACUGGGUUCGAUCCUCAGCACCACA
rnacentral:tRNA from 1 species